rnacentral:rRNA from 1 species
CCGGAUAGUUCCUUGAACCGCAUGGUUCAAGGAUGAAAGACGGUUUCGGCUGUCACUUACAGAUGGACCCGCGGCGCAUUAGCUAGUUGGUGAGGUAACGGCUCACCAAGGCGACGAUGCGUAGCCGACCUGAGAGGGUGAUCGGCCACACUGGGACUGAGACACGGCCCAGACUCCUACGGGAGGCAGCAGUAGGGAAUCUUCCGCAAUGGACGAAAGUCUGACGGAGCAACGCCGCGUGAGUGAUGAAGGUUUUCGGAUCGUAAAGCUCUGUUGUUAGGGAAGAACAAGUGCAAGAGUAACUGCUUGCACCUUGACGGUACCUAACCAGAAAGCCACGGCUAACUACGUGCCAGCAGCCGCGGUAAUACGUAGGUGGCAAGCGUUGUCCGGAAUUAUUGGGCGUAAAGGGCUCGCAGGCGGUUUCUUAAGUCUGAUGUGAAAGCCCCCGGCUCAACCGGGGAGGGUCAUUGGAAACUGGGAAACUUGAGUGCAGAAGAGGAGAGUGGAAUUCCACGUGUAGCGGUGAAAUGCGUAGAGAUGUGGAGGAACACCAGUGGCGAAGGCGACUCUCUGGUCUGUAACUGACGCUGAGGAGCGAAAGCGUGGGGAGCGAACAGGAUUAGAUACCCUGGUAGUCCACGCCGUAAACGAUGAGUGCUAAGUGUUAGGGGGUUUCCGCCCCUUAGUGCUGCAGCUAACGCAUUAAGCACUCCGCCUGGGGAGUACGGUCGCAAGACUGAAACUCAAAGGAAUUGACGGGGGCCCGCACAAGCGGUGGAGCAUGUGGUUUAAUUCGAAGCAACGCGAAGAACCUUACCAGGUCUUGACAUCCUCUGACAACCCUAGAGAUAGGGCUUUCCCUUCGGGGACAGAGUGACAGGUGGUGCAUGGUUGUCGUCAGCUCGUGUCGUGAGAUGUUGGGUUAAGUCCCGCAACGAGCGCAACCCUUGAUCUUAGUUGCCAGCAUUCAGUUGGGCACUCUAAGGUGACUGCCGGUGACAAACCGGAGGAAAGGUGGGGAUGA